rnacentral:rRNA from 1 species
GACGAACGCUGGCGGCGUGCUUAACACAUGCAAGUCGAACGAUGAAGCCGGAGCUUGCUCCGGUGGAUUAGUAGCGAACGGGUGAGUAACACGUGAGCAAUCUGCCCUUGACUCUGGGAUAACUGCGGGAAACUGUAGCUAAUACCGGAUACGACACCUUGGGGCAUCCCAGGGCGUGGAAAGAAUUUCGGUCAAGGAUGAGCUCGCGGCCUAUCAGCUAGUUGGUGAGGUAAUGGCUCACCAAGGCGACGACGGGUAGCCGGCCUGAGAGGGUGACCGGCCACACUGGAACUGAGACACGGUCCAGACUCCUACGGGAGGCAGCAGUGGGGAAUAUUGCACAAUGGGCGAAAGCCUGAUGCAGCAACGCCGCGUGAGGGAUGAAGGCCUUCGGGUUGUAAACCUCUUUUAGCAGGGAAGAAGCGAAAGUGACGGUACCUGCAGAAAAAGCACCGGCUAACUACGUGCCAGCAGCCGCCGUAA